rnacentral:lncRNA from 10 species
GGGCAAGGUGCUUGCGGGCUGCUCCCUGGCCCUGCCCUGCAGGAGCAGUCACGGAGCUGCGACACCACCAGAGCUGGGACACCACCAGAGCUGCGAGACCACCAGAGCUGUGACACCACCAGAGCCGGGACACCACCAGAGCCGGGACACCACCAGAGCCGGGACACCACCAGAGCUCCGAGACCACCAGAGCUGCCACACCACCAGAGCUGUGACACCACCAGAGCCGUGACACCACCAGAGCCGGGACACCACCAGAGCCGGGACACCACCAGAGCCGCGAGACCACCAGAGCCGUGACACCACCAGAGCCGGGACACCACCAGAGCUGGGACACCACCAGAGCUGCGAGACCACCAGAGCUGGGACACCACCAGAGCUGCCACACCACCAGAGCUGCGACAGCACCAGAGCCGGGACACCAGCAGAGCCGGGACACCACCAGAGCCGCAACACCACCAGAGCUGCGACACCAGCAGAGCCGCGACACCAGCAGAGCCGGGACACCACCAGAGCCGUGACACCAGCAGAGCCGGGACACCACCAGAGCUGCGAGACCACCAGGGCCGGGACACCACCAGGGCCGGGACACCACCAGAGCUGCGAGACCACCAGGGCCGGGACACCACCAGAGCCGGGACACCACCAGAGCUGCGAGACCACCAGGGCCGUGACACCACCAGAGCCGGGACACCACCAGAGCUGGGACACCACCAGAGCUGCGAGACCACCAGAGCUGGGACACCACCAGAGCUGCCACACCACCAGAGCUGCGACACCAGCAGAGCCGCGACACCAGCAGAGCCGGGACACCAGCAGAGCCGGGACACCACCAGAGCCGUGACACCAGCAGAGCCGGGACACCACCAGGGCCGGGACACCAGCAGAGCCGGGACACCACCAGAGCCGUGACACCAGCAGAGCCGGGACACCACCAGGGCCGGGACACCACCAGAGCUGCGAGACCACCAGGGCCGGGACACCACCAGAGCCGGGACACCACCAGAGCUGGGACACCACCAGAGCUGCGAGACCACCAGAGCCGUGACACCACCAGAGCCGUGACACCAGCAGAGCUGGGACACCACCAGAGCUGUGAGACCACCAGAGCCGGGACACCACCAGAGCCGGGACACCACCAGAGCUGCGAGACCACCAGAGCCGUGACACCAGCAGAGCCGGGACACCACCAGAGCCGGGACACCACCAGAGCCGGGACACCACCAGAGCUCCGAGACCACCAGAGCUGCCACACCACCAGAGCUGUGACACCACCAGAGCUGUGACACCACCAGAGCCGGGACACCACCAGAGCCGGGACACCACCAGAGCUGCGAGACCACCAGAGCUGGGACACCACCAGAGCUGGGACACCACCAGAGCCGGGACACCACCAGAGCUCCGAGACCACCAGAGCUGCCACACCACCAGAGCUGUGACACCACCAGAGCCGGGACACCACCAGAGCCGGGACACCACCAGAGCCGGGACACCACCAGAGCUGUGACACUGUGGCUUCAGUAAAGCUGUUUCUUCUACCACUGGCUUGCCCUUGCAUUCUUUCCUGGGUGAAGCCAAAAACCCAGAGGGCUAAACUCCACUUUCGGGCUCGCCUGCCUGCAUCAUAACCAUCAGGCCUGGAGAGCCGGGUCUCUUGAGAGUAAACUGCCGUGAGAUUCUACAGGAACUCUGCCUCUCCUCUGGGCUGAGCUGUUCUGCCUCAGUUUCCUCACUAACAAAAUGGGGUGACAUCUUGAGGUGGCCCCUCUCGGUGCUGCCAGCCUCUCUGCUCCCCACUCUUUUUGGGCAGCCCUCAAGGCCCUCGUACAGCAUCUGG